rnacentral:rRNA from 1 species
AUUGAACGCUGGCGGCAGGCCUAACACAUGCAAGUCGAGCGGAUGAAGGGAGCUUUCUCCUGGAUUCAGCGGCGGACGGGUGAGUAAUGCCUAGGAAUCUGCCUGGUAGUUGGGGAUAACGUCCGGAAACGGGCGCUAAUACCGCAUACGUCCUUAGGGAGAAAGUGGGGGAUCUUCGGACCUCACGCUAUCAGAUGAGCCUAGGUCGGAUUAGCUAGUUGGUGGGGUAAAGGCCUACCAAGGCGACGAUCCGUAACUGGUCUGAGAGGAUGAUCAGUCACACUGGAACUGAGACACGGUCCAGACUCCUACGGGAGGCAGCAGUGGGGAAUAUUGGACAAUGGGCGAAAGCCUGAUCCAGCCAUGCCGCGUGUGUGAAGAAGGUCUUCGGAUUGUAAAACACUUUAAGUUGGGAGGAAGGGAAGUAAGUUAAUACCUUGCUGUUUUGACGUUACCAAAAGAAUAAGCACCGGCUAACUUCGUG